rnacentral:rRNA from 1 species
UGGGGAAUUUUGCACAAUGGGGGAAACCCUGAUGCAGCGACGCCGCGUGAUUUAGAAGGCCUUCGGGUUGUAAAAAUCUUUUCUAUGGGAAGAAAAUGACAGUACCAUAGGAAUAAGGACCGGCUAAUUACGUGCCAGCAGCCGCGGUAAUACGUAAGGUCCGAGCGUUGUCCGGAUUUAUUGGGCGUAAAGCGAGCGCAGGCGGUUAGAUAAGUCUGAAGUUAAAGGCAGUGGCUCAACCAUUGUAGGCUUUGGAAACUGUUUAACUUGAGUGCAGAAGGGGAGAGUGGAAUUCCAUGUGUAGCGGUGAAAUGCGUAGAUAGAUGGAGGAACACCGGUGGCGAAAGCGACUCUCUGGUCUGUAACUGACGCUGAGGCUCGAAAGCGUGGGUAGCAAACAGG